rnacentral:lncRNA from 1 species
GUUGGGGUCAAUUCCAUUCCAUUUUAGUCAUGUUCAGGAAGUAAACAAAAAUAUUUUCCUUCAUGAAAAGCAUUAAGGGUAAUUGACCUCAAACCUGGACAUCUGUUCAUAUUCCUCUGAGAUUUAUACCAUUACAUUUAGACGUAGUUCAGUAUAUACAGUAGUUAGAUGUGAUCCCGUUCUAGUAGAAUAGACCUGAUGUGGUUUAUUACAGAUCAGAUAUUCAGUAAGACUGACGUUAAUAUACAGUAGUUAGCUGUGGGAGAGAUGCUGCCCGGAAGUUACUCCAGCUUGGGCUGGACACCCUCAGUGUGGCAGACUAUGCGGUGGAGUUCCGCACACUAGAAGCAGAGGGUACCUGGAACACAGAAGCGCUGUUCGACAUGUUCCUGCACGGAUUAUCAGAGGAGGUAAAGGAUGAGCUGGCAGCCCGAGAACGACCGACUGAUCUCAACUCACUCAUCGCUUUAACCAUCCGGAUCGAUGGUCGGCUACGGGAAAAUAGGAGGGAGAAGAGAUCCGAUUGCAGUCCCAAUCACUCAGGGAGCCCACCUUGCAUCUGAUGAACUCCGGAAAUCCCCUGCGUCUACGUCCCCGAGAGGAUCCGAGCUUACUCGAGUCCCUCCAAGAGCAUCCAGAGACUGCUGAUUCACCUCUUCCCGAGCCGAUGCAGCUCGGCAGGGCUGGGCUGUCUCCAGCCAAACACGUACGCAGACUUGAGACCCAGAGUCGCCUGUAUUGCGGUACUGCCGGUCAUUAUGUGUCUACCCUUCCCUUCAGGAAACCUAGCUCAUUCGUUGGCGUGAGUACUCUGGUGGGUCUUAAAGAUAAUUUUUUAUCUCCCCUUACUCGCCCCCCUUCUCCAUGCCAUUCUGUGCUGGGGCAACAAGUCCAAGUCUCUCCAGGUACUCAUCGACUCGGGGGCCGAUGUGAGUCUCAUGGAUGUUACCCUGGCGUCUGAGUUGGGUAUCCCCACUCAACCUCUCUCCAUUCCCAUGGGUGUUUAAGCGCUGGACGGGCGCUCUAUAGGCCGGGUCACCCACCAGACCACCCCUGUCCAACCUACGAGUGUCGGGGAACCACAGCGUGAUGAUCUAAUUCCUGCUGGUUGAGUCUCCACAGGUUCCCGUGGCAUUGGGAUUAUCUUGGCUCCAGCAAUACAAUCCCUCCAUUGACUGGGCUACUGGUGCCAUCGUGGGCUGGAGCCCGUCCUGCCACACUCAUUGCCUGAAGUCAGCUCUGCCUGCCCCGGGACGUCUUCCCGGGGGCUUGGAAAUUGCCCCGUACCUCUCUACCAGCUCCGCAGAGUACCAGGACUUCCGGGAUGGGUUCAGUAAGGCCCGGGCCACUUUGCUUCCACAGCACCGACUGGUAUCCAAGAAGGUCAGGCCUGAGGCGCUGGCACACCGCUAUAGUGCCGCGGCUACAACCCCGGAAACUGAGACCUUUUCCCCCCGCUCCAAGAUCAUUAGCCCCUCUGCUGUUUGUCCUCUGUUGCCCCAUGCCCUCCGUAUUGUUCCUACCUUUUCUGUGUCUAGAGUUAAAGCCAUGUCUGACUGCCCCUUCUCUCCUGUUUCCAGGCCCACCCCUCUCCCCCGUCUCAUUAACGGCCGACCGGCGUACAUGGUGAGAUGUCUCCUGAAGGUUCGAACUCGGGGCAGGGGAUUCCAGUACCUGGUUGACUGGGAGGGUUAUGGCCCGGAGGAGAGGUGCUGGGUCUCCGCUUGGGAUAUCCUGGACCCAGGACUCAUCUCUGAGUUCCAGCGCCGGCACCCCGCUCAACCAGGUAUGUGCCCAGGUAGGACGCCAGGUGCUGGGACCCCUGCCUGUCCUGACUCCGAGUCCGCCUGCCUGACCACUCUGCCUGCCCCUGACCCUGCAUGCCUGCCGUCCUGUACCUUUGCCCCCUACUCUGGAUUACCGACCUCUAUCUGACUGUCACGUCCUGACCAUAGUAAGAUGUUAUUUUUGAUGGUAGAGUUGGUCAGGGCGUGACAGGGGGUGUUUUGUGUUUUUCUAUGUUUUCUAUUUCUAUGUUCUUACUGUGGGGAGCGAGUGACAGGGCAAGCACCGUGUUAUGCGGUGAUGCGCACUGUGUCGUCAGGGCGCACUCACAGGCCGGUGCGAUCGCCCGUGCCUUGCAGUCGUCAAGCUGGGUUGAGCAUCCAGCAAAGACGGGUUGUGCCAGCCAUAAGCUCCAGACCUUCAGUGCACCUCCACGGCCCAGUAUACCCUCCGCACUCGCCCUGAGGUGCGUGUCAGCAGCCCGGUGCCACCUGUACCGGUCCCACGCAUCAGGCCUCCAGUGCGCCUCCACAGCCCAAUACGUCCUGUGCCUCCUCCCCGCACUCAACUUGAGGUGUGUGUUACCAGUCUGGCGCCACCUAUGCCAGUCCCAUACAUCAGACCUCCAGUGCGCAUGCGCAUCCCCAGUCAGGAACCUCCAGCGACUGCCUGCAGCCCGGAACCUCCAGCGACGGCAUGCAGCCCGGAACCUCCAGCGACGGCAUGCAGCCCGGAACCUCCAGCGGCGGCCUGCAGCCCAGAACCUCCAGCAAUGAUCUACAGCCCAGUUCUUUCGACGACAAUCCACGGUCCGGUGGUAAUAAAGCAGAAGGAUCAGCGGGUGGAGCGGGGAUUACGCCCCGAACCGGAGCCGCCUCCUCUGCUGGAGGUAAAGGUUAUGUGGACUGCAUUUGAGCCACCAUAAACAGGAGUUGCCCACCCUACCCUCCCUUUUUGUUUUUGUUUGUUUUUGUUUAAGUUGCAUUCGGAGUCUGCAACUUUGGGGGGGGGGGGGUACUGUCACGUCCUGACCAUAGUAAGAUGUUAUUUUCUAUGGUAGAGUAGGUCAGGGCAUGACAGGGGGUGUUUUGUGUUUUUCUAUGUUUUCUAUUUCUAUGUUCUUAGGUUCUACUUUUUGUAUUUCUAUGUUGGCUUGUUUCGGAUGAUCUCCAAUUGGAGGCAGCUGGUCCUCAUUGUCUCUAAUUGGAGAUCAUAUUUAAGUAGGGGUUUUUCUUCCUGGGUUUUGUGGGUGAUUAUAUUUUGAGUAGUGUUUGUUUCUCUCUGCGUCACGGUUUGUUGUUUUAUCAUAUUCAGUUAUUUGAGUAUUGCAAAGUUUCACGGAUUUAAUAAAAUGUGGAACUACAACCACGCUGCACUUUGGUCCGCUCCUUUCGACAGCCGUGACACUGACCUGACCCUGGGCCUGCCUGCCGUCCUGUACCUUGGCCCCACUACUCUGGAUUAUUGGCCCCUGCCUGCCUUGACCUGUUGUUUGCCUUCCCCUGUUGGUACAAUAAACAUUGUUACUUCAACACAGUCUGCACAUGGGUCUUACCUGAAACCUUAUAGCUACAGUUUUUUUAUUUUUUAUUUUUUUACCUAGCUUUUGUAAACAGGUAUUUCGUUUUGAACGGUUUGUGCUAGAGACUGCAUUUUAAAGGUCCAACCACUGACACCAUGCUUCGUUUGUUUCUAUGGCAGAGGCUGUGAUAUAGCUAAAUCCCAGAGCCAUGUAUUAAGAAAUAAAUUACUCUGGCUAAGCCUAAUCAGACUUGCCUAUACGAAUGGUUUUCACAGUAGUUCACAGACAAAGUCAAAUGAAAAAAAUGUUUGUGAAGGGCGCCACUCGAAUGAUACAAAUGUAACAACAAAUCCAUAACACUGGACUUGUCAGAACACCACAGAUGUAACCAUGUGACAUGUUUACUAUUUUAUCUGACCGUCACUAGUCCUCCAGAGUCAACAGUCCAAUGUGCAUUCCAACAGGUCACGUUUAUCAGCGACGUUUAUCCCUCAAGGAAACCACUGCCCAAGAAACCGACUCUAGGUUGAAGAGAAA